AAGGCUUGACAUAUACAGGAAAAGCGUAGAAAUACGCUCCCCGCAAGGUCUGUAUACAGGUGGUGCAUGGUUGUCGUCAGCUCGUGUCGUGAGAUGUUGGGUUAAGUCCCGCAACGAGCGCAACCCUCGUCCUAUGUUGCCAGCACGUAAUGGUGGGAACUCAUGGGAGACUGCCGGGGUCAACUCGGAGGAAGGUGGGGAUGACGUCAAAUCAUCAUGCCCCUUAUGUCUUGGGCUUCACGCAUGCUACAAUGGCCAGUACAAAGGGCUGCGAUACCGCAAGGUGGAGCGAAUCCCAUAAAGCUGGUCUCAGUUCGGAUUGAGGUCUGCAACUCGACCUCAUGAAGUCGGAGUCGCUAGUAAUCGUAGAUCAGCAACGCUACGGUGAAUACGUUCCCGGGCC
rnacentral:rRNA from 1 species